AGUAGGUCUACCCGAGAUAGAGCAGCAAGAGACCCUAGAAGGUCUUUGGAUCUGGGUAGAAGCAGAUCAGUCAGAGGAACAGUUCAGGGAGGAGCGUCUGAGGACAUGGGGGAUGAUAUGGAUGUAGAGCAGAGGAGGGAUGGCAGUCUGGGAGUUAGCAUGUCGGAGGAAGGUAUGGGAGAGUCCCAAGGAGGCACUCAGGCCUCGGGAUUUGUUCAGCCACCCCACUACCCACACUUCUCACAACAUCCCGGGUAUUCGAUGGGAGGUACAUCAGAUUACCCUAGCUUCACCC
rnacentral:lncRNA from 1 species